rnacentral:rRNA from 1 species
CUACGGGCGGCUGCAGCAAGGAAUAUUGGGCAAUGGGCGAAAGCCUGACCCAGCGACACCGCGUGGAGGAAGAAGGCCUUCGGGUUGUAAACUUCUUUUCCCGGGGAAGAAUAAUGACGGUACCCGGGGAAUAAGCCUCGGCUAACUACGUGCCAGCAGCCGCGGUAAUACGUAGGAGGCGAGCGUUAUCCGGAUUUACUGGGCGUAAAGGGGGCGUAGGCGGCCUGUCAAGUCAGAUGUGAAAUCUCCCGGCUAAACUGGGAGGGUGCAUUUGAUACUGAUGGGCUAGAGUGCAGCAGAGGAAAGCGGAAUUCCCGGUGUAGUGGUGGAAUGCGUAGAUAUCGGGAAGAACACUAGUGGCGAAGGCGGCUUUCUGGGCUGUUACUGACGCUGAGGCCCGAAGGCGUGGGGAGCAAACAGGAUUAGAUACCCCGGUAGUC